rnacentral:rRNA from 1 species
CUGGGCGGCGACCGGCAAACGGGUGCGGAACACGUACACAACCUUCCGAGAAGUGGGGAAUAGCCCAGAGAAAUUUGGAUUAAUACCCCGUAACAUAACGAUGUGGCAUCACAUUGUUAUUAUAGCUUCGGCGCUUCUUGAUGGGUGUGCGGCUGAUUAGAUAGUUGGCGGGGUAACGGCCCACCAAGUCUACGAUCAGUAGCUGAUGUGAGAGCAUGAUCAGCCACACGGGCACUGAGACACGGGCCCGACUCCUACGGGAGGCAGCAGUAAGGAAUAUUGGUCAAUGGACGCAAGUCUGAACCAGCCAUGCCGCGUGAAGGAUUAAGGUCCUCUGGAUUGUAAACUUCUUUUAUCUGGGACGAAAAAAGGCGAUUCUUCGUCACUUGACGGUACCAGAUGAAUAAGCACCGGCUAACUCCGUGCCAGCAGCCGCGGUAAUACGGAGGGUGCAAGCGUUAUCCGGAUUCACUGGGUUUAAAGGGUGCGUAGGCGGGCAGGUAAGUCAGUGGUGAAAUCCUAGAGCUUAACUCUAGAACUGCCAUUGAUACUAUCUGUCUUGAAUAUUGUGGAGGUAAGCGGAAUAUGUCAUGUAGCGGUGAAAUGCUUAGAUAUGACAUAGAACACCUAUUGCGAAGGCAGCUUACUACGCAUAUAUCGACGCUGAGGCACGAAAGCGUGGGGAUCAAACAGGAUUAGAUACCCUGGUAGUCC